UGAGUCCUACGGGAGGCAGCAGUGAGGAAUAUUGGUCAAUGGGCGGAAGCCUGAACCAGCCAAGUCGCGUGAGGGAAUAAGGCCCCACGGGUCGUAAACCUCUUUUGCCGGGGAGCAAGGGCCGGGACGAGUCCCGGUCCGGAGAGUACCCGGAGAAAAAGCAUCGGCUAACUCCGUGCCAGCAGCCGCGGUAAUACGGAGGAUGCGAGCGUUAUCCGGAUUUAUUGGGUUUAAAGGGUGCGUAGGCGGGCUUUUAAGUCAGCGGGAAAAAUUCGGGGCUCAACCCCGUCCGGCCGUUGAAACUG
rnacentral:rRNA from 1 species